UUUUACCCCUAUGUUCUAUUUUUAGCCAUGGCGGCCAUCUUGGUUGGUUGGCCGGGUCACCGGACACAAUUUUAAACUAGAUACCCCAAUGAUGAUUGUGGCCAAGUUUGGUUUAAUUUGGCCCAGUAGUUUCAGAGGAGAAGAUUUUUGUAAAAGAUGCCUAAGAUUUACGAAAAAUGGUUAAAAAUUGACUAUAAAGGGCAAUAACUCCUAAAGGGGUCAACAGACCAUUUUGGUCCUGUUGACUUAUUUGAAGAUCUUACUUUACUGAACAUUUUUGCUGUUUACAGUUUAUCUCUAUCUAUGAUAAUAUUCAAG
rnacentral:lncRNA from 1 species